CCCAAUUCCCAUAUACACGAUCACACACGCUCUCUCUCUCUCUCUCUCACAGUACAGAAAGCUUGCUCUCUUGCUCACUUCUUAGACAAACUAAGUGGGGCCAUCUUAAAGAUGCGCACAAGGCAAUAGAGAUUUUUGAAGAAGCAUUAUUGGUGUCCACUGAUCCAAUUGUUAUUUCUCUUGGCCCAAAGUCCAAACUUGGAGGAUAUGGCAUCAAAACCACGAGAAGAAGGUCCCAGUGUACAACAAUCUAUACAAGGUCCCAAUGAAGGUACAAAAUCGGUUGACAACUUGAUGAAAGAUGCUGAGCAGCCUGUAUAUAAAGGCUGCAAGAAUUUUAGCAUAUUAUCAUUCAUUAGGCAGUUGUACCACUUGAAGUGUCUUAAUGGUUGGUGCGACGAGUCAUUUACCAUGUUGCUUCAACUUCUGCAAGAUAUGCUUCCUUCUGAUGCUAAGGUGCCAAAAGACUCUUAUGAGUUUGAAAAGAUCGUUAAGGAUUUAGGUUUGAGUAAUGAGAAGAGUCAUGCUUGUCCCAGUGGUUGUAUGUUAUUGGAGAAGGGGAAUUCCAAUGAUGAAGCUUGUUCAGCGUGUGGCUUUUCAAAUUGGGCAACAAAUAGGGAUGAUGUUCAGAGUGAUACUAAUGCUUUGUCCAACAAAAAAAAAAAAGAAGGCUGCAAAGAUCUUACAUGGAUCAACCUCUUCUAACAAAAGUGGCAGGAGUAAUAGUUCAUUGCGAGGGAUACAAAUAAGUUCUGAAGAAUACAGACAAAGAAAGGAAGAAGAGAUAUGUGAGCCGAAGGCUGGAUUGUCUAAUAUGAUGGAACAAAUGGCUAGCUUCAUUCAAGGAAUGCAACAACAAUCUCGUACUGGUUUCCAGGGCAUAGACGUGGGUAGUGAUGCUCAGGAUAAACAACAUCCACACACACAAGGAUCAUCAGUUGCUAGUCAUGAAAAUGAGCAGCAGGGUAAUAAGACAAUCUAGAGGAAUGAAGAUGGAUCAGUCAAAGAACAAGUCCUUUUUUGAUGAAUGUAGGAACAAGUCUUUUUUUAUUCCCCUGUUAUUGUAGAUAUUUAGUGUGGUGAAUCAAAUGUCGAACUUUUUAAACAAACAAUUUGGAAAUUGUUGUUAGUUAUUAUUAACUUAGUACGCUGAAGUAUCUUGAUACUUGGAAAGUGUAAUGCGACUUUAUGGAUUUCAUUUCUGUAAUAUAUGCUACUUUAUGCUA